GAGUUUGAUCAUGGCUCAGAUUGAACGCUGGCGGCAGGCCUAACACAUGCAAGUCGAGCGGUAGAGAGGAGCUUGCUUCUCUUGAGAGCGGCGGACGGGUGAGUAAUGCCUAGGAAUCUGCCUAGUGGUGGGGGAUAACGUUCGGAAACGGACGCUAAUACCGCAUACGUCCUACGGGAGAAAGCGGGGGAUCUUCGGACCUCGCGCCAUUAGAUGAGCCUAGGUCGGAUUAGCUAGUUGGUGAGGUAAUGGCUCACCAAGGCGACGAUCCGUAACUGGUCUGAGAGGAUGAUCAGUCACACUGGAACUGAGACACGGUCCAGACUCCUACGGGAGGCAGCAGUGGGGAAUAUUGGACAAUGGGCGAAAGCCUGAUCCAGCCAUGCCGCGUGUGUGAAGAAGGUCUUCGGAUUGUAAAGCACUUUAAGUUGGGAGGAAGGGUCGUAACCUAAUACGUUACGGCUUUGACGUUACCGACAGAAUAAGCACCGGCUAACUUCGUGCCAGCAGCCGCGGUAAUACGAAGGGUGCAAGCGUUAAUCGGAAUUACUGGGCGUAAAGCGCGCGUAGGUGGUUCAGCAAGUUGGAUGUGAAAGCCCUGGGCUCAACCUGGGAACUGCAUCCAAAACUACUGAGCUAGAGUACGGUAGAGGGUAGUGGAAUUUCCUGUGUAGCGGUGAAAUGCGUAGAUAUAGGAAGGAACACCAGUGGCGAAGGCGACUACCUGGACUGAUACUGACACUGAGGUGCGAAAGCGUGGGGAGCAAACAGGAUUAGAUACCCUGGUAGUCCACGCCCGUAACGAUGUCGACUAGCCGUUGGGAUCCUUUGAGAUCUAGUGGCGCAGCUAACGCAUUAAGU
rnacentral:rRNA from 1 species